ensembl:lncRNA
UACUUCUACACCAUUUUCAAGAGACCUGAGAAAAGCUGGGUGAUUCAUGUGAAGAAAUGAGACAAAUAUUUACGCCUGUUUCCCAGAAUUUGGCAAUGAAGUGUUUAUUAUCUUUUCACAAGAAAAAGAACUUUACAAAGUAACAAUUCAACACCAGACUCAAACUCUUUUUAUACUGUUACCAAAUAAUGGAGAAGUCUGACAAUGGCGCCCAUUGGUGGGGGUGCUACAUUAACAUGUCCACGGGUUUGGCUCUCAGUGUGGAGCGACUCAUGAAGAAUGAGACAAGGACGUACAGGGAAUCAGAAAACUGGUCCUUCCUCAGGACAGAUGUGUCCAACAACCAUGGAGGGGGUGGAAUGGGUGAUUCAUUUAGUUUGGGUCUUUCUUUUAGCUCUGGGAAUCGCCACCACUAAAUAUGUUCUGAAAAUCUGAGGCCUUAGCAGGAGCUCCACUUCCUGAGGCUCUCACCUCGUGGCCUCCAUCUUGUUCCGUUACAAUGAUUAGUGAGAGCCGGACUAAGAACGGAAUUGGAGGCUGAUGGUUCAAAAGAGUUUGGUACCAAAACAUGUCGACAAGUAUUCUUUUCACAAACAUUUAUUUUUGCUUUGUGACCAAACUAUGUUGAGUAAGACACUUCGUCACCAAUGAAAAGGCAACCGUGUGUCUAAAUCAUAUCCAAAACCUUUGGGACUACUCGGCUUGUCACCCAAGAGGCUCUGGUAGCAGUUCUGGAGCUUUUCAGCGGUGUCACAUGAUCUCCUGCAGUGUUGAUCAGGGUCAAGUCCACCCUGCUCACAGUUAAGAUGAGGAACCCAAAGCUCUACUAAAGGACAUCGCUGUGUAACGGCUCUGCCAAUUCAUUUAAACCCAUCUAGGGCAUUUCCAUGACUCCAGAUCUAGUUGUAGCUUGCCUAAUACAGCCAUACCGUAACAGAUGAUCCACCCCCCCAUGAACAAACGCCCCGUGUGAAUGCAGUGAAUACACUUCUAACCCAUCUUUUCAUUGUCUGGAUAUACACUACCUCAACCACCCAGCACCAACAUCAAUACUUAUGCCGGCAGCCCAGCACACAGCGAUUUAUCAGUCAAGUUCUAAUCAAUGAGUCCAGAAAAAAAAAAGAGAACCUCACACAAUGGUGCAAUACUGUAUGUGAUGUAAAGCAGUAAAGGCCAGAUGAUGUGUAUCAGGCUGUCACUGACCAUCAUGCACACUCGAUGGAGUCACUCCGUUCUGUCCAUUCGUCGGUCUGUGUGGGGGUCGUGCACACUGAAGAAGACAGACGACGGGAGAGGGGCUUGUAUUUUCAGUGAUGUGGUUUUUCUUGAAAUGAACCCUGGAUUCUGCCCCAGCAGCCACUAGCGGCGAUGGUGCAGCCGUACGCAUCAUCAGAUCAGUGAGCUUCUCGUUUGAUGUGACGGGUCUAAUCUCCUCAGUCACAAUGUAAAGUAAAAAAAGAAAAGAAAAGAACUCAAGGCACAAACUAAUACUGCAGAAUGGAAUACGGUUCUUAAAGGCUCUGACUUCAGAUAUUGCUGUGAGGAAAAGCGACCGCCGCUCAUUACCAACCAUUUAGAGUUUAGCGCUCGUCUUCUGGACCCGAGUUGGGACCAUUUCCCACCUCAUGCUGGGAAGCAGCUCACGGACGCCUUUUAUUUCCUUUGCAACACAAAAACUGGUUGUGGAGCCACGAUGAUUGACAGCUGUGCUGAGCCAUGAGCGCAUCGUCGGUUUCAUGCUGAUUUGGGAAUUCUAAAACACUGCAAAUAACGUCACACUGUCAACAUUAGGCACCCAGAAUGCACCUGUUUAAAAACACCUGUGCACCAAUGAGCGCAUCGUCGGUUUCAUGCUGAUUUGGGAAUUCUAAAACACUGCAAAUAACGUCACACUGUCAACAUUAGGCACCCAGAAUGCACCUGUUUAAAAACACCUGUGCACCAAUGAGGUCACUGGCAGGGCAGCGCUUUGGCACUAAAAUAGUCUAGUGCAUGUGCUCCGAUACAGUAGGUUGUCUGUUUACUGCAUGCUACAGAUGAAAAUGCCCAAAGUGUAAUAAUAUCUCAGGUUGAUCUGUAGGAUGAUGCCGUUUGUUUGUUCAGAACUUGGCUUUCACCCAAAAAAGAAAAGCUGUAAGGAGAUGAAAAUGGACGUUCAACAAAUGAGCGAUACUUGAAUAUUUGUGGCUUCACUGACCACCGGCAGGCUGAACGGUGACCUCUCAGCAACAGGACAGCAAGGCCAACCGGGACCAGGGAGACCAACAGCCCAGUCCUCCACACGGGGAGCGGUAACGUCAUCAACAUGUCGAGCUCUAAACACAGGUUGCCAUGACGAUAGCUGCUGCGAGAAGGGGACGAGGUCUGGGCUACACCCACCAGGGCUUCAAGAGCUGUACGGGACCAUUUUACAGUCAGUCAGUCACCCCCCAAUGCAGUACCUUUUCCCC